CGCAAAANAGAAGAGUGGAAUUCCCACGUGUACCGGUGAAAUGCGUAGAGAUGUGGAAGGAACACCAAGUGGCGAAGGCGACUUCUCUGGUCUGUAACUUGCCGUGAGGAGCGAAAGCGUGGGGAGCGAACAGGAUUAGAUACCCUGGUAGUCCACGCCGUAAACGAUGAGUGCUAAGUGUUAGGGGGUUUCCGCCCCUUAGUGCUGCAGCUAACGCAUUAAGCACUCCGCCUGGGGAGUACGGUCGCAAGACUUGAAACUCAAAGGAAUUGACGGGGGCCCGCACAAGCGGUGGAGCAUGUGGUUUAAUUCGAAGCAACGCGAAGAACCUUACCAGGUCUUGACAUCNCUCUGACAACCCUAGAGAUAGGGCUUUCCCUUCGGGGACAGAGUGACAGGUGGUGCAUGGUUGUCGUCAGCUCGUGUCGUGAGAUGUUGGGUUAAGUCCCGCAACGAGCGCAACCCUUGAUCUUAGUUGCCAGCAUUCAGUUGGGCACUCUAAGGUGACUGCCGGUGACAAACCGGAGGAAGGUGGGGAUGACGUCAAAUCAUCAUGCCCCUUAUGACCUGGGCUACACACGUGCUACAAUGGACAGAACAAAGGGCUGCAAGCCCGCAAGGUUUAGCCAAUCCCAUAAAUCUGUUCUCAGUUCGGAUCGCAGUCUGCAACUCGACUGCGUGAAGCUGGAAUCGCUAGUAAUCGCGGAUCAGCAUGCCACGGU
rnacentral:rRNA from 1 species